GGAAUCUUAGGUUAAUUAGAAACUUGUUGUCUUCAAAACAAUAGAUAAGAAAUUAGAUUCUG
rnacentral:tRNA from 1 species